rnacentral:rRNA from 1 species
GACGAAGUACCGGCGGCGGUUAAAACUCGCAAGUCGAACGAGGCUUUGGCNAGUGGCGAACGGCGGAGUAAUACAUAAGCAACGUGCCCCGACGACCGGGAUAGCCCCUCGAAAGAGGGAUUAAUACCGGAUGUGGCCUUUCUAAGGCAUCUUAGAAAGAUUAAAACGAGUAAUCGGCAUCGGGAGCGGCUUGUGGCCUAUCAGCUUGUUGGUGGGGUAACGGCCUACCAAGGCUUCGACGGGUAGCGGGUCUGAGAGGACGAUCCGCCCGACUGGGACUGAGACACGGCCCAGACUCCUACGGGAGGCAGCAGUUGGGAAUCUUGCACAAUGGGCGAAAGCCUGAUGCAGCGACGCCGCGUGGAGGACGAAGUCUCUCGGGAUGUAAAACUUCCUUUUGCCAGGAAAGAUAAUGACGGACCUGGUUGAAAUAAGCCCCGGCUAAACUACGUUGCCCAAGCCAAGACCCGCGGUUAAGAANCNUUAAGGGGGC